rnacentral:rRNA from 1 species
GGUCUUCGGAUGCUGACGAGUGGCGAACGGGUGAGUAAUACAUCGGAACGUGCCUAGUAGUGGGGGAUAACUACUCGAAAGAGUAGCUAAUACCGCAUGAGAUCUACGGAUGAAAGCAGGGGACCUUCGGGCCUUGUGCUACUAGAGCGGCUGAUGGCAGAUUAGGUAGUUGGUGGGGUAAAGGCUUACCAAGCCUGCGAUCUGUAGCUGGUCUGAGAGGACGACCAGCCACACUGGGACUGAGACACGGCCCAGACUCCUACGGGAGGCAGCAGUGGGGAAUUUUGGACAAUGGGCGAAAGCCUGAUCCAGCAAUGCCGCGUGCAGGAUGAAGGCCCUCGGGUUGUAAACUGCUUUUGUACGGAACGAAAAGCCUGGGGCUAAUAUCCCCGGGUCAUGACGGUACCGUAAGAAUAAGCACCGGCUAACUACGUGCCAGCAGCCGCGGUAAUACGUAGGGUGCAAGCGUUAAUCGGAAUUACUGGGCGUAAAGCGUGCGCAGGCGGUUUUGUAAGACAGUGGUGAAAUCCCCGGGCUCAACCUGGGAACUGCCAUUGUGACUGCAAGGCUAGAGUGCGGCAGAGGGGGAUGGAAUUCCGCGUGUAGCAGUGAAAUGCGUAGAUAUGCGGAGGAACACCGAUGGCGAAGGCAAUCCCCUGGGCCUGCACUGACGCUCAUGCACGAAAGCGUGGGGAGCAAA